CGCGUAAAUAAUCUACCCUGAUGUCUGGGAUAACCAGCCGAAAGGCUGACUAAUACCGGCUAUAUGCUACCCUGUUGGGGGUAUCAGGAAAGGUGGCCUCUUCUUGAAAGCUAUCGCAUUGGGAUGAGUUUGCGUACCAUUAGCUAGUUGGUGGGGUAAUGGCCCACCAAGGCGACGAUGGUUAGCGGGUCUGAGAGGAUGAUCCGUCACACUGGCACUGGAACACGGGCCAG
rnacentral:rRNA from 1 species